CAAAUAGUGCAAUGCAAGAAUGCAAGCUGCAAAUAAUUGUAAUAAUUAUUCAAUUGUAUUGUGAUUGUGUCUGAGUCUGUGUGGGGAAUUGUGUAGAAAUAGAAAGUGCUGUUGCCUUUAUUGAAUUAAUUAAUUAAGGAAACAAAGCCUUAACUUGCCGUUAACUCUUAUUGCACAUGGCUGGAUGAGAAGGUAAAAAGAAAACAACAAAUAAUAUGGAAUUGUGAGUUAAUUACAACAAAAGAAUAAAGGAAUACAAGAGAAAAAGGAAAAUCACUCAAGUAUAUUGUAAAAUACCCAAUGAGCAUAGCAAGAUUUGACUACGGGACGAUUCAAUAUUGAAUGAGAGAGGUUGAGAAGGUAAAAAGAAAGCAACAGAUGAUAUUGAUCUGAGAGUUAAUAUAAUACAACAGAAGAAUAAAGAAAGACAAGAGAAAAAGGAUAAUCACUCAAGUAUAUUGUUAAAUACCUCAUGUGCAUGGCAAGAUUUGACUACAGAAUGAGUCAAUCGUA